UACAGAGGUGGCAAGCGUUGUUCGGAAUUACUGGGCGUAAAGGGCGCGUAGGCGGCCUGGCAAGUCAGGAGUGAAAGGCCUGGGCUCAACCGAGGAACUGCUUUUGAUACUGCCAAGCUAGAGUGCGGAAGGGGCAACUGGAAUUCCCAGUGUAGCGGUGAAAUGCGUAGAUAUUGGGAAGAACACCUGAGGCGAAGGCGGGUUGCUGGGCCGACACUGACGCUGAGGCGCGAAAGCCAGGGGAGCAAACGGG
rnacentral:rRNA from 1 species